GAUGAACGCUAGCUACAGGCUUAACACAUGCAAGUCGAGGGGCAGCACGGUCUUAGCUUGCUAAGACUGGUGGCGACCGGCGCACGGGUGAGUAACGCGUAUCCAACUUCCCCUUAGUAGGGAAUAGCCCGGUGAAAAUCCGGAUUAAUGCCCUAUGUCUUCACAGCGGACAUCUAACGUGAAGCAAAGAUUCAUCGCUAAGGGAUGGGGAUGCGUCUGAUUAGGUAGACGGCGGGGUAACGGCCCACCGUGCCUGCGAUCAGUAGGGGUUCUGAGAGGAAGGUCCCCCACAUUGGAACUGAGACACGGUCCAAACUCC
rnacentral:rRNA from 1 species